rnacentral:rRNA from 1 species
GACGAACGCUGGCGGCGUGCCUAAUACAUGCAAGUCGAACGCAGUGGGGACGGGUGAGUAACACGUGGGUAACCUCCCAUCAGAGGGGAUAACACUUGGAAACAGGUGCUAAACCGAUACUGAUGGAUGGACCUGCGGGGCAUUAGCUAGUUGGUGAGGUAACGGCUCACCAAGGCGACGAUGCAUAGCCGGCCUGAGAGGGUGACCGGCCACACUGGGACUGAGACACGGCCCAGACUCCUACGGGAGGCAGCAGUGGGGAAUCUUCGGCAAUGGACGAAAGUCUGACGGAGCAACGCCGCGUGAGUGAAGAAGGUUUUCGGGUCGUAAAGCUCUGUUGGUGGGGAGGCGGUAUCUAACCAGGAAGCCACGGCUAACUACGUGCCAGCAGCCGCGGUAAUUC